rnacentral:sRNA from 1 species
UGUGGGGAGAGCGCUGCCACAGCAGGAGGUUAAGACCGGAAGUCACCAGUUGUGGUUGGCAGCCAUUGUGCUCUGGGAGCCCAGCAGGCCAGAAGUUACUGUGGAGAAGUUGAGGGUUUCUAGCCACACCUGGGAAGAGCCCUAAACCCACCAGACCUGUGGCCUGGGUCGUGCAGCACUUCAGGAAGGCAGGGGGUCCUACCUAGGUCUCUGGAUCAAGCCAUGCGGCUCAAUCCUGAGGGCUGGAAUGAAGUGGAGAAAGAUGAUGGAAUCUCAGAGGCUACUCCGGGAAAGACCCUGCGUCUUCUGCUCCCCUGGUUCCUUCCGGGAAAGCCGGCUGCUCCUUUGUGAGGACAUUCUUUGAUUUCUCUGAAAGGAGUGACUCUUGGCAACAGUGCAUGAGCCACCUUGAAGCUGCUACCCCAGCCCCAGCCACACCUACACAUACCUCCCUCCCUGACCCUGCUCCUGCAGGGUGACCUGCAGCCUUUGGAGAGACCCCGAACUAGAACCACCAAGCUUAGCCACUCCCACAACCUGACCUCCUUUAUGACCUUCAGGAACUGUGGGAGGAAGUUUCUUGUUCUGGGGUUGUUAGUUAUACAAUAAUAGACAGUGUGUGGCUUCCUCAUUCCCGUCAAGUUUGUGUCAUGCCGCCACCUGUGUAGACACCUCCAGCACUCACACCACUAAGAAGAGCACCCCAAUCCCCCUCCUCCAUGUGCUCUUCUCCUGAGCUUUCUUAAUCUUUGUCUCCCCACUGAAUUCUAUAAAUGCUAAGUAAAUAUUUGCGGGGUG